CUGCGCCCUGGUGCCGUCAUUCUGAUGGGCAAGAACACCAUGAUGCGCUUCUGCGUGGAGAAGUACCUGGAGGAGACCGGCGACCACCGCUGGGAGUGCCUGGUCAAGCCCGGCAAGAAGGGCCUGCUGGAGGGCAACGUGGGUAUCGUCUUCACCAACGGCGACCUGUCCCAGGUGCGAGGCUUAUGGAUUGGAGGGGGUGGGUGCCAGUGGUCCUGGCAGGGGCUGUAGAGGGAGCUGCGGCCUGGGGGAAAGGUGGCGAGGAAGGGGGGAAGACGGGUCGGCUUGUACCACUCCGCUUCGGCGGUUGGUCUUACAGUUUCCACUCUUGUUGAUGCGCGCAGGUGAAGGAUGAGAUCGCCAAGUACAAGGUCGGCGCGCCCGCCCGCGUGGGUGCCGUCGCCCCCGAGGACGUGGUGAUCAAGGCCGGCGGUACCGGCAUGGACCCCUCCCAGACCUCGUUCUUCCAGGCCCUCGGCAUUGCCACCAAGAUUAACAAGGGUACCAUUGAGAUCGUGUCCGACGUCGUGGUCGUCAAGGCCGGCGAGCGCGUGGGCCCCUCUCAGGCCACCCUGCUGGCCAAGCUGGGCGUCAAGCCCUUCAAGUACGGCCUGCUGAUCCUGAAGGUGAUCGAGUCGGGCGCCGUCUACGACCCCAAGGUGAUGGACAUCACCGACGAGGACAUGAUGGCCUCCGUCAUCGCCGGUAUCCGCGAGGUGGCCGCGCUGUCGCUGGGCGCCCAGUACCCCACCCUGGCCGCCGCCCCCCACGUCAUCAUCGACGGCUACAAGAACGUGCUGGCCAUCGCCGUGGAGACCGACUACACCUUCCCCCUGGCCCAGAAGGUGCGCGUGCGCUUCUAUUUGUGUGAUGGGAUGCAAAGAUUGGGGCCUGGCUGCGUUCGCUCAUGGCCGGGCCGGAGCACAAUGGCGCCACAAGCCAGCCUUUCGCUGCGUCUCCCCGCGACGUUGUCUUGACUACGUUGCUGCUGUGCGGCUGCCUCACCCACCUCGUCGCCCGCUUUCCCCGCACCUGCAGGUCAAGGACUACCUGGCCGACCCCUCCAAGUUCGCCUCCGCUGCCCCCGCGGCCGCCGCCGGUGGCGCCCCCGCCGCCAAGAAGGAGGAGCCCAAGAAGGAGGAGCCCUCCGAGGAGGAGGACAUGGGCUUCUCCCUGUUCGACUAAGCGUCUGGCCCUGUGCUGGUGCGGCUGCCGUCGGGCGGAGCGAGCUCUUCUUGAGCUGGGUGCGGCUGGAGCGGGCUGGUGCCCUAGGUCCAGGUUGCGUUUGGUGUCGGUGGCAUGGGCGGUGCGGUUGCGUGGCUUGCCCACGGCGUCGCGCGUGCACCUCGCCUCGCCGGUGAAGCGCGGCUUGGAUGGGGGUGCUGGAGCACGCCUAUUGUUAUGAAAGCUGUAAGGCAUACGGUUUGAGCUGUGCCCUUCGUCCUCAGUCUCCCCACUACCGUCGUACCCUGUCAGGUGCUGGCUUAUGGCAUCUGGCGGAGGAUUCCACGCAGAGACGUCAGCUGUACAGCUCAGACUGGAAGCAAUGUGCUGGCAGGAAACCGGUUGAUAUUGGCCAUGCAAUGCUGUUUGCGCCGGAGGUUCGGAGGUCGCUGUACCACUCUAGGCAAGGCUAUUAAGCCCCCCACGCGGGGCUAUGGAAGGGCAACUCAGUGUUGAGUCACCCUUAGUCACCGCCCACAUUCAGAACGUGCGCAACGAGGGCGGAUACACUGACAACGUAUAUAAAUGCAAAGCACCGGAUUCCAACGCAUGGACCGAAGGCGACGGGCGCAGGAUACAGUCAUGUAGAGGUGGGACUAGGGGGGAGGCCGGGUUCGGGGGGCCGAGGGGGGCUGUCGGAAUGGGCAGUAGCCUUGCGGAAGAGACCCAUGCAGAAACAGUGCAAUUGGUCCUCAGUCCACAUGUUGAUGACCUCAUUUUCAUCUGAACCUGUCGAACUUCCGCUCUUGUCCUCAGUGUAGCUCGGGAUUUUCUCAUUUUCGGUCGUCGGCAUUCCUUUCUGAGAACCUGUCCCCCAAAUGCGCUGACACAAUAAGCGGCCAUUGAUAAGCUUCUUUCAACGCCGCGAUGGCGUCGUGGCAGCCGACCCAGGAGGGCGUCUUACAGCUAGUGCAGCUGUUGACGCUUUACCAGCAGCCGGGCACAAACCAAAGCCAGGUAUGUUGAAAUAUAUAUGCCCAGAACCAAGUCCGGGCUGGGGCACCUCGGACUUGGAUCGACUGCGGCUUUGCACACCCUGCUACGGUUCUACUGGCAAAACACAGAUAUUCCAACAGCUUGAGGCGUACCGGGCUUAUCCGGACUUCAACAACUACUUGGCGUUCCUAUUCGCGACUGGCGACCAGCUCACGGUCGAGGUGGGUGCCGAUGGCGAGGCCUGAAGGGAGGGUAUGAGGCGCUGCUGCAACCGCGGUUGCCUUUGGCGCGGCGCUGUGGGAGUCCUGCAGAGUAUACGCAUUGUUAACUUGCCCAGGUCACAAAUUUGCCGGCAGCUGCACCUGACACGCACGCGCAACCGCCUGUGACCACGCCCAGGUACGGCAAAGUGCUGGCCUGCUGCUGAAGAACAACCUCAGCAAGCAGUACAAUGAUCUCCAAGCGGAUUUCAAAGCGUACAUCAAGGUAGGAUCACAGCGAAGCAUGGAUUCAUGCGGGAGUUUUCGAGGGCUGGUCGGUGCCACGGGCGCGCGCUGGUGGUGUAGGCUGGCGCGUAUGUGGUCCCUCUUUGGUUCAGCGACAGCCCACCCAACCAGGAUUUGCUGGAUCCUGUCACGGUUGCGCAUACCUUGGGAUAUCAAUGGACUUGUGACCUGCGGUGCGUGCCAUGGGCUUGCCUAUCUAGUAUCUAUACUCGAGCUCGGACGAGCUGUCACAGCUUCGACUAUCUCACCGCGCCUCGGGUUGCACCUCACCCCUGGGCCCGGCUGCCCUCAUUGACCGUACACUGCCCUCGCAACCGCAGUCGGCGCUGCUACCGCUGCUGGGUCAUGCCACACGGGAGCUGCGGCACACCGCGGGCACGAUCGCCUCGGUGAUUGUGGGCUUGGGCGGGCUGGAGGACUGGCCGGACCUGGCGGCGGCGGUGCCGCGCUGCCUGCAGGCGGAGGAGCCCGCCGUGCUAGACGGGGCGCUGGACACCCUGUACAAGGUGGGCUGGCUGAGGGACGCGGGGGUGAAAGUCGCGCGAGCAGCAGCUGCUCCAGUCACCAACAUCCGUGGUGGCCCCGGCGGCGGUCUGCCAAGAGACGAAGCAGACUGUGGUGGCGCACGCAGCAGCGAUCACGAGUUCAGAUUCUCAACGCACAUAACGCGCAACCCGUUGCACGCAGGUUCUGGAGGACCACCCGCGGCUGAUGGACACCCCGGUGGCGAGCGCGGGCGGCGCGGCGUUCAGCAAGCUGGUGGUGCCGCCGCUGCUGCGGCUCAUGCAGUCGCCGGUGGAGGACGUGCGGCGCAGCGCGGUGGCGGGGCUCAACCUCAUGGCACCGGGCAUGCCGGCGGGACUGCAGGACAACGUGGACAGGUGGGUGCGGGAAGCCGGGGAAGGGUGGGGGUGGCGGGGUUCACUCGAGCAUUGCGGCAGGAUCGACGGUUAUGGGGCCCGGCACUCAGGCAUCUCUCUUGCAGAGCUUCCCUCGCCUCGUCCAACCGUCUCUGUCGCCGCCGACGCUCCCUGCUCCUGCCCCGUCCAUCACGCCCCUGCCGCACCGCAGCUUCUUGCAAGGGCUGUUUGCGCUGGCCAACGACACCUCCAACCGCGUGCGCAAGGAGGUGGUGGUGGGGCUGGUGACCGCCACCUCCUUCCUGCCAGACCGCGUGGCGCCCUUCAUGGGGCAGCUGGUGGAGUACAUGCUCGCCUCCAACGAGCACGCCGACCCCGCGGUGGCGCUGGCGGCCGCCGAGUUCUGGACCGCCUACCUUGAGCUGCAGCUGGACCCGGGGCUGCUGCGGCCAGCGCUGCCGCGCCUCAUCCCCGUGCUGCUCAAGAACAUGGUGCGUAGGGGGGAGCGGCAAUCUGUGGGGUAGUAGGGAGAGGAAGGGAGGUGGGGCAAAAGGUGGUAAGCCGCUCGGGUUGAGUAGUGUGACUGCGGGCUGCCGUGCGGCAUCCAACCCACCUGCCGAGUGGUGCGGCGUUGCCUCUUAUCGGGGUAUGCUUCACCUGUUACGCAACUCUUACUUGGCACAGGUGUUUGACGAGUAUGACGAUGAGGUGGCGGAGGCGGAGGCCGCGGAGGCCUCUGGCGGCGUGCAAAAGGAGGAUCGCGACCAGGACCUUAAGCCCUUCCAUCACCGGGCCAGGUGCGGAGGGCUGCAGAGGGAUGUAAGAGUGAAGCUGCUUGCGCUCCGUGGCCAGCAGCUCAGCCAGGUGCUGCCCUGGUCCGCGCGUUGCGUUUGGCGCAUCGAGUAUUGACUGCUCAUGCCACUGCUGACCACGCGCCGCCAGGGAGCACGGCGCAGAGGCAACGGAGGAGGGCGCGGAGGGCGCAGGGGCCGACGGCGAUGAGGACGACGACGAUGAAGUAUUCAGCGCCUGGAACCUCCGCAAGUGCAGUGCGGAGGCGCUGGACGUGCUGUCCAACAACUACGGCGACGAUCUGCUACCAGUGCUCCUGCCCAUCGUACAGCAGCGACUGCAGGUGCGUGUUCGGCUGUGGAGCUCUCCGGAGCAAAGCUCCGGGCAUGUGUUCAGCCGCCGGACGGAAGUGUAGGAGAGGCGGUGCUUUGUAUGGGAAGUGCGGGCAGUGUGCGCAGCGCACUACUUACCUCACCACAAUGCUGGAACCACCCGGCCCGCUCCACCCAAACCCCAACCCAACCCAAUGCCACGCAGGACUCCAACUGGCGCUCCCGGGAAUCGGCCAUCCUGGCCCUGGGCGCCAUCAGCCACGGCUGCCACCAGGGGCUGCAGCCUUACCUGGAGGGCAUGGUCACCAUGCUGCUGCCCGCGCUGCAAGACGCGCGGCCCAUGGUGCGCAUCAUCACCUGCUGGACGCUCGGGCGCUACAGCCACUGGCUGUUCGUAGGUAAGGUAUCCAAGCCGCAAGAGCUGCUAAUGCAAUUAGUAUCAUACAUGCUCCCAGCCGUGCUACUUUUAAGAUUGUUCGAUGCGACGUGUGGGGCGGAAGAGGCCUGAGGGCGGCUAUGGUUGUUGUUGCAGGUGUGCUAGAGCGCGGCGCGGCGGGGCGGCCGCUGCUGGACCAGGUGGUGGCGGGCAUCCUGGGCCGCAUGGCCGACAACAACAAGUUCGUGCAGGCGGCGGCUGUGAGCGCGCUGGCGGUGCUAGUGGAGACGGCCAGCGAGGGCCAUGAUGCGGCUGACAAGCUGCUGGAGCCCUACCUCAAGGUGGGGGUAGCGGGGCGAAGCAGUGUGCUUGUUCUUGAUGAUGCCGGUCGUGUUGCCCACCCAAAACGGUAUUGGGUCACUUGUUGCAAAGGCAAGGCGCCUGGCGCUCGCCUGGAGCUCCGUGCCAGUACAGCGUGGCGCACCAUGCCCUGCAAAGUACACGGCACGCGAACAAGUGCCCGCUCGGUCCGCCCUGCCCGCAGGCCAUCUUGGAGGCGCUGGCGAUGGCGCUGACGCGGUACACCCGCCGCGGCGUAGUGGUCACCUACGAUGCGCUGUCCUGCACAGCGAGGGUGCUGGGGCCACGCAUGGCCGACCCCGCGCUGGCCACCAUCGUGCUGCCGCCUCUUGUGGGCAAGUUCACCUCGUCGCCGCUCACAGACAAGGUGCGGGCGCACAACAGAGAGCUGCAUGUGUCGUGUCGUGUGUAGAGAGGCGCUUCACUACAGGUUACCACGCCGUGGCAUUGCGUGUUCGGAGUGUUCCUAGCACGCGCGGGGCAUGGCUAACCAACACGCACUUGCACACGCGCUUGCGCUAUGCUUAGGACUUGCUGGCGACGAUGGAGUGCCUGGCCAACGUGACGCCGCACACGGGGCGGACGGUGGAGCCGUACGCCAAGCCAUUGUACGACCGCGCGCUCGCGCUUGCCGGCGUCUACAUGGCCGUGGGCCAGCACUCUCGACAAGCAGCGGGCACGCCAAGCGCUCUGACAGGCGGGCCAGAUGCAGCCACCACGGCGGCGGCGGCGACGGCCGGCGCGGCGUACGGCGGUGCGGCGGCGGCCCUUGCAAACGGAGCGGCGGCGGGCGUGGAGUACGACGUGAACUUUGUGGUGCUGUCUCUGGAUGUGGUCAGCGGCAUGGCGCAGGGGCUCGGCGCCAGCAUUGAGUCGUUGGUGGGCACCAGCCCGCUGGUGCAGAUGCUCACGGUCUGCUGCUGGUGAGUAAUGAUGUGUGCGGCGCUGGGGGCAGUCAAGACAGGCGCCAGGGCCGGGCUGCUCCUGUCUCUUCUGGCUUGUUGCACCUUCACACUUCCUUGCAAGUUGCGAGGCGAUGACCUAACAUCGCUUCCCCAACCGCGCCGCCGUGCAGGGACACGUCCGCGGAUGUGCGGCAGAGCGCGUUCGCGCUGGUGGGCGACCUGGCCUCCGCCUGUGUAGCGCACCUGCUGCCGGCUCUUGACGCGCUGGUGGGCUGCGCGCUGGCGCUGCUGGAGCUGCCGCGCAUCACGGAGCACGCGCUGGCGUCCGCCAACAACGCCUGCUGGUCGUUGGGCGAGCUCAUCAUCAAGGUGGACCCGGAGCGCAUCGUGCCGCACGCAGGUAUGGGUCGCUGAGGUAAAUAGUAUUGCUGCAUGUUGCUCAGGUCGCGGCGGAUAGAUCUGGGUGUGUACCGGCAGCCAGGUCCGACCCAGCAAAAGGACGCAGCAACACGAUACUGUAUCCGCACCCUCGCAGAGGCCAUCGCGCUCCGCAUGACGUCUAUCCUGUCGUUCUCGGGACCGGGCCGCAUGCCGCCGUCCAUCCUGGAGAACGCCUCCAUCACGCUGGGCCGCACUGCCUGGCGCUGCUCGGAGCAGCUGGCCCCGCACCUGGCGCACUUCGUGACGCCCUGGUGCAUGCAGCUGCGCAACAUCCGGGACGGCACCGAGAAGGAGCACGCGUUCUUGGGGCUGUGCAGGUGCGCUGCGACGUUUCCAACAGCAAUGGCGUUGGGUGUUGGGAGGGUAGGCCGCAAAGAAUGGCGCCCAGCACUGGUACAUGGCCACAGAGGCAUUGCAAAGCCCGCCAUGCUUUCGCCAUCACCAUGCUGAUUGAACCUUCGGUUGUUGCUCAUCCAUUCUGUACUGCAGGCUGGUCCGCAUGAACCCGGAGGCGGCGCUGCCGGCCUUCCCAAUGCUGUGUGCGGCGUUUGCUUCGUGGCGGCGGGUGGGGUGUGAGGGGCUGCGCAACGAGAUGGCGCAGAUCCUGCAGCUUUACAAGGCCAACCUGGCGGCGGCAGGGCCCGGGCGCUGGGAGCAGGUGGUGUCGGGCGUGGCGGAGCCCGUGCGCGGGAAACUGCAGCAGAUGUUCGGGGCGGUGCUGUAACAUUUCCGGUGUUGUCUGCACCGUUUUGCCCCAGGAGACAGGAGUCACUCCCUUCCAAAGCAGCGCGCGUUCAUAGCAUUUCUGCUGGGCCCCCUUGCUUUGUAGGCUGAACGUGUACCUGUAUAUGAUAUUACUGCUCAACUCAGCAGCACGGAGGGGCAGAUCUGCAGUAUUGCCAUUAGUAACUCUCGCUAGCUGUGUACCAGGGGUGGUGCCGGUACUGGCGUACUGCCAGCUCGCAUCUUGCACUCGUCUGACUUAACAUAAGCCCGAAACAGCCAAACCUAUCUGGUGUUCUGAGUGGGUUGGGUAUCUCCGAGCAUCAGCCGCUGCGGUAUGCGGUGCGGCGCAGUUGUUUGCCUAGCUAUCUAGGUUGUGUUUUCGGACCACAGCGGGCCUUCCCAUGCUUGAUCUGUGUACCCACAUGGACUCAGGAGCGCCCCCCCACGGCUACCCACAGUUAGUGUGGCUGGCUUUGCUCAACCGUUCAUCAGGACACAUAUGACCGAAGAUGGAAUCGGCUUUCCACGUUUACACGUGCCAGACACGUCCAAUACUCACGCCGCACCGGUAGGAACGCCAAAAACCGGGGCAUGAUAUCCCAAAACACACGACGCGAGCACUCAAUCCCAAGCUGACACUUGGCCUCCUCCUAAAACCCUCUGGCAUUUACCAGAGUCAUCCCACCCCAUCUGCAUCUAAUUUCCAUUGCACGUCCUCCGCAUCCACUGCGCCAAACAGCUGCUUCUGAGAGGCGGCAGCCGGCUCCUCCUUGCGGGGGCUCCACCUGAACCCAACAGUCAUAUCUUCUGCUCUUCGAGGACGCCUCCCCGACGCUACACUGCCCUGCUGUGCAUCUGCGUACACGCCGUCGAGCCCCAGUUGUUGCUCCUCUCGGCUGGCGCCCACAGCUUCCGGGCACCUAUUUCGCCGCUGGCCGCCCCUGCUGCGCCGCGGCAUAAAACCACCUGCAACCAAGCUCCAUCCAUGCCUCUGCCGCUAUUGCGGUGCAUAUGCUUUUACUGCUUGCACAGGGUGAUGUGGCGCAGGACAGUGUCCUCAGCACCGGCCUCCGGGUUGGAUAGGAGCUGCUGCACAGCGCGAGCAGUCUGGCGGCGGGCCAGGUAGCUGUACAGCACGUAGAUGCCCUCCCACUCCCUGCAGACACGUGGGCAUACAGGGGGGAACAAGAAGGUAUAAGCAGCCGCCACAUGGCGGCGUCGGCGAGCAUGCAUACCGCUGCCCCGCACGCGAAGCAGUCCGACCUCCGGUCUUCCCUCCCCCUGCGACCCCGACCAACCCCCACCCAGCAUUUAGGUCUACCCGUGCCUUCCCGUCUGUGCCAAACCGCUUACUUCUUGAUGGGGUACGCCAGCUUGCUGCGGCCCCGCACCAGAGCGUUAAUGUUGAAGCACUCCUCCUUGUUCAGGUACGCCUCGAACUUGGCAAGCUCGCGAUCCCUACAGGCCAGCCCAUUGUUGUAAGCAUGUGUUUUCUAUAGAACGCAAGCGAGCCCAUUUCAGUCCUUCCCUGCGCCACGAAAUUCCAUGUCGCUGCCGGCGCCAGGAGCUCACCUCUCCUCGUCGCUCAGCGUAGGCUUCAGGAUAAUCAUGGUCUCAUACCUACAAGCAAAAAGAGCUUGGUCAAUGCCAUGCGGCUCACGCGUGCUUGGCCCGGUAUUGAGGCUGGGAGCGGGCCCUCACCAAUGGUAGCCCGCAGGCAGCUUGACGGUCUCCGCAGCAGCGUCCGCGGCCACAGCGGCAGCCACAACCUACACAAGCAAAUUUUCGCUCAGAGGAGGCCCCCGGGAAGCCAACUAGCCACCGCUUGCAGGGCGCGACGAGAGCCGCACCUUGGGCAUCGCGCGGCCGACCGAGCUGCGCUGCUGCUGAGCGCUCUGGCGAACCACAGGCUGAAAGCACAGACGCUGGGCAAUGGGCCUGGCAGCAACCAGGUUGGCGCUGCUGCUGGAGCGCACAGCCACGGAGCUCUUCUGCAUAGUGGCCAUCGUGCCUACUGAACUAACAACGAGCAGCAGCUAAAUACAACGCGUCGUUAGGUAGGAUGUGAGGCACACGAGCUCCCCCCAGCUGAAAAUGGUCGCCUCGACCAAGGCUCAUGCAGGUCCCUGUUUCGCGUGAAGGAAAACUUACUCCCAAACUCAAAAGAAGCACUGAAUUUAACUACAACUGAUAGCCAUAUGUUCGGCUCAGACGUAGGGCACCGUGCUUAGACCCACGCCCAAGACAAUCGGUCCCCAGUUAUAAGGGCCUGAAGGCCCGAGCGUUCCCUUAGAGCGGCAAUGGACUCUGAUAGGUAAGGGUGUGCUGCUUGGGGUAAAUCGUCCUGGGCCCAAGUGGUGACCAAGCUAGCCCCUCCCUCCCUUCCUCACGCGUAUCAGCGACGAUGAGCGUGCGGCGGGCUACGUGCCAGUGUUGGCAGCAUCAAUGCCACGAGCUGCUGCAGCGGCGGCAGUGGCCAGCCCCGCGGCGAAGCAACCUUCCAACGUUCUACAAGAUGGUGAGCUCCGAUUGACUCGGUUCUUCCUCUUCCUGCGCAGCCGCUGCUGCGCUCGUAGGACCUUCAAUACUAAUAUGUUUACAAUCUCUCUCUGACCAGGUGUUUCGCUUUACACCAAUGAGCUGUUCACCGACAACAACGGGGAUGUGCUGGGCGAGGGUCCUGGGCUCGCGUCUCCCAGCGGAGCGGCGCCCGGCAGCGCACGAAAAGGCCUGGCUGCGAAACGGCAGGAGCGGUUGCAGGGGAACGCAUACACGCCAAACUCGCUCCUAAAGAACGCCUCACUGCGUAACCCCGGUGCCCCUGCGUCGCCGGGUAUGCGGGACUCGCCCUCCUCCUUCCGGCCAUCCACCCUGUCGCAAACGGGGACCGCCACCACAGUGGAAACGACAUUGGUCAGCCCCAACCGCAACAGCAACAACCAGGGCAUCGCCGGGGGCGUGGGAAUGGUGCACGGCUUGCGCGCCAGCUACGACCCCAACGAGGGGCAGGAGGAGCCUGUGCCCUCCACGCGGUACGUGGCGCCGGCAGCGGUGCCGGUGGCACGCGCCGUGCCCCAGCUGGACCUUUCAGACAUGCCGGCAUUCCUGCAGCAGCCGGGGCCUAAGAAUGGGCCGGUGCAGUGCGUCAUCGUGCGCGACCGCGGGUCUGCAAAGAUGUACCCGCGGUACUCGCUGUUCCUGGAGGAGGGGCGGCGCUUUCUGCUGUCAGCGCGCAAGCGGAAGAAGCAGACCACCAGCAACUACAUCAUAUCCAUGGACUACGAGGACCUCAGCCGGGAGAGCGGGUCGUUCUUUGGGAAGGUCCGCGCCAACUUCGUGGGUACGGAGUUCACGGUGUAUGACCGGGGGGUUAAGGCGGGCAAGAAGGACGCCCAGGGCGACGGCCAGCGCGAGGAGCUGGGGGCGGUGACGUACCAGUACAACGUGCUGGGCACGCGGGGGCCGCGCAAGAUGAUGGCGGCCAUCCCCGGGGUGGACGGCAGCGGGCGGCGCAUGUUCAACCCCAGCGGCGACGCGGACACCAUCCUGGAGCGGUGCGUGUGGGGGUACAAGCACGGCAUGACGCAGGGGGGCUCGCGGGCGUCGCUGACAUGGACACCCAUGGAACGUAUAGGUUCAGGGGACGUGUCAUGACUUCCUUGCCAAAUGCUUACUCGUUGGGCGUAGCGUGCCUGCAUGAGCCUGACCCUACUCGCAAUCCUGGGGCGCACGUGCAGGCUCAAACACCGGAAGGGACUGGAGGAGCUGGUGGUGAUGGGCAACAAGCCGCCGCGCUGGAAUGACGAGGUGAGGGCUUCUGGGGAGUAGCUACACAUGGAAAUGCGGGGACCAGUAUCCGUUCCCAGUGCUGCUGCAGCGAUAGUGGUGGUGAAGCACAGGUAGGGGCCGCCCGCCGUCGUGAAUGGCGCUCCGCGACAAUGUGCGCUUGCCGACAUUCUUGACGGGAGAUGACUCACUGACCGCUGCAAACCCGGGCCUGCAUGUCAACAGCUGAACGCCUACUGCCUGAACUUCAACGGGCGCGUGACGGAGGCGUCCGUGAAGAACUUCCAGCUGGUGUCGGACGACAACCACAACCACGUCAUCCUGCAGUUCGGCAAGGUGGGCAGCAAGCACACGUGGGGACGCCGUGGCCGCCUGCUGCCUCGUGGCCGCCUGCUGCCUCGGUGUGCAGCACACAAUCGCCCUUGCCUAAGCCCACCCUGCCUCACCUGUUGACUUGCACAGGUCGGCAAGGACACGUUCACCAUGGACUACCAGUGGCCCAUCUCCGCGUUUCAGGCGUUCGCCAUCUGCAUGUCGUCCUUUGACAACAAGCUGGCGUGCGAGUAAUGAAGUGGUGAUGCAGCAGUCAGCGGCAGAAUGUGGCUGGGAGUCGCGUGGAGGAGCGCAGAGCGGAGGGUGCUGCAGAUUUUGGAGCCUAAAGUGGACUCGUGAUGGAGCCGGAGGUUGGCCAUCUGGCCGGAGGUACAUCUGGCAGCUGCCAGGGCUUGGGGAGCUUGGGUAGGAAUGCCGCCGUGUGCUGUAAGGCGCAGGUUACAGGCUCGGGAGCUUUGUCUAGACAAAUGAUAGCAACCCGUGCCUACACUUGGGUGUGCAUGGCUGAAGAGCGGUGCAUACGGUAGGACAGAUCAGGGCGUGGCGAUGGGGUGUUAGGUAGCUCGGAGGUAACGGGUGCAGCGGCUUGGGACGGCCCGAUGGGCAAGGUUUGCUGCAUGUACUGCCGACAGGGGCACAAGAAGAAAUUGUAUAAUGUAUGUUCUAGGACAGCUCCGACUAACCCCCAACUAACUCGCGUACGGCACCCUCAGCCGUACAGGAGUUGACUAGGGAGUCGGCAGCUGCGCGAGUGGGAGCGGGUAGUUGUACGGUUGCCCAGCUCGCAAGCUACCUGACUGUCGUGACGCACACGGGCAGUUGCCACGAGUCAGCAGGCGCGCGAGUGGGAGCUGGCACUCAGUAGAGAGCUCACGCGUGUGGGAAGCUGCGGUUGAGCAUAAUGGAGCACGGCGGAGGCUGCCGGUUGGCGCGGCGCGCGAUUGGUAGUGCAUAGUCGCGCGCGUGCGUGCUGUGUGGGAAGCCCCGUGUGUGAGCUACGUGUAAACUCAGAGAGACGCAUGGGCUGCCCCUGUUCCACAAGCUGCCUCUGGGCGCACACGGUUUCACACGGUUGACAGUUGGCUCUGGAGGGCUUUGGAGGUUGGUAACGCGCAUGCUUGGCGGGCCAGUACCCGGUUGGCGCACUAUUGAGUUGCAAAGGCCGUGGCAACCCACGCUAUGAUUGCGGGUUACAAGGAAGGGGACAGUGUGUACACCGUCGAGGCACAGGGAACCGCCGCCGCCCCGACGAGCGCAGCCAACCGCCAUCCCUGCUUGGCUGCCGACCCACCUCACAGCUGCGUAGGCGUGUCGAAGCUAAGCUAAAAGCCUGCCAAAGCCACGACCAGACACAGCAUCACAAUGCGCGCGGCUCAUAAGGCACCGCUAGUCUGCAAGGCGAUAACCCAAGUCUGUGCGCAGAGCGCGAUUCACGGCACCAACGCAAACCAGCAACCUACCAAGCACACGCCCAGCAGAAAGCAAGCACGCGACAGCACCAACACAGGAGUUCUAAAUUAAUGACGAGUGGCGAGGACACUCCGCCGUCCGCUCUGGUCUACGUACGCAUUCGUUUCCACCACACUCGUCAUUAGUAGGCAGUCAGUAGCGCAAGUUGCGAAUUCACAUGUUACCUCGUAACCGACGGUAAACGCUGUGGACGGCCGCGCCCAUGGCUGGCUGACGGAAAGCGGCUGCUGUAUUGGGAUGGCUGGGCUGGAGGAGUUCUAACUCGUGCGGGGCGCUGAUCACCCCGCAACAGCGGCCGCAGGCACGUGGAGGCGCCGUAAGUCUCGGCAACACAAUGCAAGCAGGCCAGAACCCCACAAUGCACCGCACACAAACAAAGAGGCAGGGCCCAUGCGCACGCCAUCACGGAAACGGCGGCGGAGACUCCGUAUCAUACGGCAACACAACAACGAUACCACAUGCAAAUAAAGCACUGCAAAUGCGGCGCUCGUGGGACGCCGGUGCAGCAAUCAAAGGUGUUAUUCAUGUCCCUUAUUAUGCAUGGCAGACACGCAUUGAGAUGUACUUAGGGUACAACGUGUCGCCUUGCGUGAGAAGAGCGUCGACGCGCGCGUCAUGAGGGCGCUGAGGGCGCUGCAGGGCGGCCACGAUCCCAGAUGAGCGUACGUUCGUGUCGCGCCUGGCGGCACCGGUAUGCCAGCCGGUGGCAUGGGGCUGAGCCGCUGGCGGUGUGGCGGUAUAUAUGGUGUGGAUAGAUGGGUCGGCGGCGGCGGCAGCGUGCAGAGGCGGAGACCGACAGAUACGGUAGAUGCAACGGCCAUAGGGCACUCGGACUGUGCAGACCAACGCCUUCAUGCAUCGUCAAUGGAGUCCAGCUCAUCAGUGUGCGCAUGGCAUCCAUCCUCCACGUAUCGUCCAGGGGCGUAUCAUCCCCGCACUCGCCUUCGAAAUCCACCGUUGCAACACACCAGCGCUCAUGAAUCGCUGACGGCAUCAGCAGCCGGGGCUCCCACCCGCCCCCACCCCUCCGCUAGCUCCGCAAACGCCUGGCUCAGCCUGCUCAGCCGUACAGCCAGCAAGACGUGACCGAUAUGGACGCUAUCAUUGCUGCCGCCGCCAAACGCUGUAUUGGUCUGAAACGGAGCUUCCCUAACAUGGCCGCCCUCCAGCCCACCAACGCGCUUGGCCUAGGCGUGGGCAGCGUCCGCGAGCUGUACAUCCGGCGCGCCGGCAAAGCACUGGUGCAAGCCUUGAACGAUGGAGGCCGGCUCGGCGCCGUCACCCGCGCCAUGCUCGACCUGCAAUACAGCAUGGCACAAAAAGUACCGGCGGACCAACUGCGCAAGCAAUGUCAAUUCUACAUCACCAACCUCAAGCAACUAACCCUCCUUAAAAAGCCCGGCCUUGAACUAACGCACAAGGGCGCGUCGUACGUAACACACCACCCUCCACGGCCUCACCGCCCUCCUAAACAGCCUCCGCAACACGAGCGCAGACCCCGCCCUCCCCUUGCAGUACAUCGCACCACUUCUCGAAUUCACCAACGACUUCCGCAAGCUCAUGACGCCGGACGGCACCCAUCUGAUCGACACCAAUACCCUACGCAACACAGCGUGGGGCAAACCAGUGACACGGCAACACCAGUUGGCUCUCAACAGACUCACGCUUGCCCUCCACGCCAGCACCCGAGCACAAGCCACACGACACAACAGUGUGCACCCCCUGGAUGCAACACGACGCGCCCUGCCCAAUGCGCAGACUCUCACCGGCCUCACCGCCCCGAACAACGCCCCACGAGCAGUGGACUGUGGGCACGCUGCACCGCUUCCUCCAGCGGAGAGCUCCGCCAGAGGCCCCAGAGACCACGGCCGGUACCACAGCGGCUCCCGCCGCCGAUGGCCCCACGGCAGCCACCGCCUUCGAGAUCCCGGACGAGGGCGAGCAACCUGCGCAGCGAGCCACAAAGAGAUUCAAGCUGCAUCGAUGCCCAAAGCCCGCCCCCGCACGUGACUCUGAGGGUCGCGGCGCCCCACCCGCCACCGCACCUACGGCCCUCACGUGGGACUCCGCAGCUGACCCGCUCACUCCUGCACACUGCACAUACCUACCAACUACCGCACCCAGCCUGAAUGGCAGAACCAAACGAGCCAACCCGGCAGGCUACCUUAGAUCCUUCCUCCUCGGCCCCCCAGCCCCGGCCCACUUCACCCACCGGCACAAACUUACCCAGGAGGAGCAAAACACGUACCUGGCAGCCGUGUCAGGCGCGGUACAUGCUGGGGUGCAGCAGUAGGUUCCAGUAGCCGCUCUUGUGGUCCGGGGUGAACAUGAAGUUUCCGUUGCGGAGGAAGGUUGGCAGGUUCAGCACGGACUCGUACUUCAGCGUGGGAAUCUCCAUGAACAGGUUGGGGUACAUGGGGUUCAUGAACAGCCGCAGCUUCUUGCCCUCCACCACGCGCAGGCUGUUGGUGACGGUCGGCGGGCCCCAGCUGGGGUCCCACUCCCGGUCGAUGAAGGCGGCGUGCGUUGGGGAGCUGGCUGCGCUGCGGUGGUUGGGGAACUGCACGCGGUGCGGCUCGCGCCCCGUCAGGUAGGUCUCCGGGUCGACUCCCGGCCCAAGCGCUUGUGCUAGCAUCUGCAACACGAUGCGCCGCUUCUUCCCUUGGCGCCCCCACCACGUUGAAGCGCACGCCAUCCUCGAUCAUCCGCAGCAGUUUCAAAUGGUUGCCCGAAAGCUCGCGGCCACCGCGCUAUAACUGGAAGUACCGCUUCCACAGGUGAGCGCACGCCCGUAGCCGGCCUGGUUGGAAGGCUUCAGGGUCCCUGGCUGCAGCCCGCACCCGCUGCUCGAACACUGCGCCUGAGUCUCCGUCUUCUGGCGUCUCCUCUUUGCCCAGGUGCUUCAGGCUGGCUAUCGCUGCUGCGUACUGGGCUUCUGCCUCCGCUAGGUCUGUUGGCGGCCGCGCGGGUAGGCACGGCUCCGCCGUAGGGCUGGAUGCGAAGCUGUGGCGCGAGAAGGCGCUGGGGCCGGUGUGUUCAAACGGGUCUUCCGACAGCUCACACCAGGCGCGGGGGCCGGCCCCUUCCUCUUCCUCGUCCUCGUCCCCAUCGUCGCCGUCUGACAGCCUCUCUGCUUCCUCUCUCCCGAUCUGGCGGUCACUACCCCCACUGCUACUGCGCCGGUCUCUUGGCUCUCCGGCUCCUGUCGCAAUCACCAUGCACACGCACGCAUACGUCACGCGAAGGUCCGCCACGGCCACAAACGAAAUGCGGCUACCUUGCCGCCAGCUAUAACCCAUGCCUCUGCCGUUCUCUUCAAACGCAUGUUGCAGGCCCGCUACUCCGCUCGCAAGUCUUCCGUCUGCCGCCUAGCGCUAACCAUCUGCCUGUUGGGGCGGUAGGUUGGCCACGAUCAUGUCCACCGCCUGCUCCGCCAACACGUGCGGUUUGCACUUCCGGCCGUCUGCGAAGUUGCACUGCUUGCCGAAUGUGUAGUUCCGGUAGGCCGGCUGGUUCCUGAACGUCGCCCAGAAAGCCUCGUCCGACACCGGCCGCCCGGCUUUGGCCCGCACCAUUUCUGCGAGUCGCUGCGCGUUCAUGGGCUGCGGCGCCGCCCCUCCCUGCGGCGCCUGGUGUGUGGCCGGGGCCGCGCCGCCUCCCGCGCCCCCGCCUCCACCGCUGCCUGCUCUGACGCCCUGGUUGCGACUGCCGGCCGCGCCGCCGCCCCCUGCUCCGCCACCCCCGCCGCCACGCUGCUGCUGCUGCUGCUGCAUGGCGUUGCGAAGGCUGAACUUGGCGCUCUCCUCCUGCAGGCGUGCGAGCAGCUGGAUGCCGUCGCCCCGCACCAGGCUGGUCCGGCGCAGCAGCAGGCCGAUCUGCAGGCCCCAUCCAUCAACCCAGUGCUGUUGACUGAGCGGGUCGUGGAUCACCACUGCCGCCCGCAGCGCCUGGUUCCCUGCGUUCGCCCUCCACAGGUUCAGGGUGUCCGCGCUGCCGCCCGGUUGCUGCUGCAGGAGGGCGGCGAGCGCCGCCUCCACCAGCGCCGUACCGCCCAGCACGUCAGCGAAGAUGCCCACGAACACCUCGGGGCGGGUGUCGCUGGUGGUGGUCUGCUUCCGGGCUGGGCGCAGCGCGUCCGGCAUCGCCUUCUCCACUGCUUUGCGCACGCGGGUCGCUGUGGCGUCGUCCAGCACGAAGCGGACCGCAGUGCACAGCCCCUCGAGCACGCUCCGCAAGCGGCUCUCGUACAGCUGGCAUAUAGUGUCUGCUGCCGCGCUGAAUACCACCCGUCUGCCCAUCUGCACGCGGAGCGCCGCGACCAUGGCGUCUGCCAGCGCCGAGCCGAUGUGGGCUACGCUGGCUGUGGCGCCGGUGGUGGGCAGGUCAAAUUGGCUGCGGUCGAAAGCGCCUAGCGACAGCUGCGCCGCCAUCUGGACCACUCGCUCGGGCGGCACCUGGUCCAUAGCGUCUCCCGGGUGAUGUAUGAUGGAGUUGCGCGGGAUGCUGCGCAGUACGAGGGCCCACGAGCUCGGGUCGACCUCGCACCAUAAUCCCCCUGCCGCCAUCAUGAGCGGGUCCGGCACCCGCGGGGCGGGUGGCGGCGGCAUAGGGAGCUGCCCGACGCCCCCUCUGCGACGAUUACAUUCCUCCAGCGUGAUCACGCCAGGGGCGCCCCACCGCGGGGCGGCCCUGCUGCCGGCACCCCGGCCGUGCUCCCAACCACCUAUCGGCUGGCCAUGCUGCUGCCCCCACGCCGGCACGGUGGGGGUAGGGCGAUCGCCGUAGCCCAGGGGUGGGUGGUACGGCGCCACCGACUGGUGUGGCGGCGCCCCCGGGUGGUACGUACUGCUGGUGCGCCAGUUGGUGUGGCGGCGCCCCUGGGUAGUGCUGCUGGUGCGCCGGCUGGUGUGGUGGCGCCCCUGGGUGGUACUGCUGGUACACCGGCUGGUACUGCGGCGCUCCGGGCUGGUACUGCUGUUGGGCCGGCUGGUACGGCUGGGCUGCCUGUGGGUAAGCUCCGGCCGCCGGCGGGUAGAUAGGGUUGUGCCGGCAGGUGGUAUGGCUGCGCCACCGGCGGGUACACCUCCUGCAGGUGGUGUGGGCCCCUACUCGAUCCACCGGCUCCGCUGUGGAGCGGGGCUGGUGGCUGGGCGCGCUCCGGAGAGUGGGCAGCCAGGUCCAGGGCCUGCCUCAGGUUGGAGUGUCCUGCACGGCCGCCCGACUGCGCGGGGGUUGGUUUCCCGCUGCUCCGGCCACCGCCCCACCGCCACCGACCUCCAGCGCCAGCCACUGCUGCUGCUGCUGCCCCUGGGGCGGGUAGUCGCCGGGCCUAGCUCGCCUGGGCAGUGGCGUCACCCUGGGCAAUGCGGCGCCCCUGGGGGGCCCGUCAAGCGCUCUGUAGCUGCGGUCUUCGAGCGUGCGCCGCGAGCCGUUGGAUGCGGCCGGGUGUACCCCCUGCGAGGGCUGGUGCUGCCCUGCGGAUUGGGCGGCCUGCCGGGCCCCGUGUGCCUCUGCUCUGCGUAUGCGUCUGCUCUGCGUGUGCUUCUGCUCUGCGUGUGCUUCUGCUCUGCGUAUGCUUGUGCUCUGCGUAUGCGUUGCGUAUGCUCUGCAUGUGACUGCUGCUUGCUCCACAAAUGCUCUGCCUGCCUCAGCGGAUGCGGGAUGCCAGGUUGCCAGGAGCCGAAGGGGUGCGGGAUGCGGUCAGUGACAGCACGAGGCCGGAGUGUGGGUGCGGGGUGCGUUUAGUGCUAGCAAGAGGUCGCAGUCAGGAAGGUCCGAGGCGUGGGCGUCCAGUAGCAGCCAAACAGCACGAAAGCCCGCCCUGCCUGCUGGGUGCUGGGUAUGGGGUGCAGGGUGCAGGCCAGCGAUGCCGGCGGUCCAACCCGCAGCCCGGCGGGGCCCUAUCUGGAGAACUGCACGCCAUCCCAUCCCAGGGUAUACGCAUCCCAACCCGCACCCAAAUCCCCAUCUCCCAAACCGCACCUCAACCUGCCCUCCAGCGCCUCCCGCAGCCCCUUCGCACCAGCCCCAGGCCCCGCCCGUGCCCCGCUCUGAACCUCCCGCCCCUUAGACCAAUGGCCCACUCCGGUACUGGCUCACUUGGUGGGGCUACAACAUGUGCUGGUUCUUCUGCUGCCGGCGCUGCUUGAACUUGGCGGUGACCUUGGCUGCAGCCAGGCGCUGCGCCUCAGCGGCAGCGUCCAACGCCGACGCGUGCUUGCCGCCGUAGUUCGCCAGAGCCUCAAUCAUGGCCCAGGCCUGAUCCAGCUCCGGGAAAGCUUCAAAAUCGUCGCAGACUGAGCUGAUAAAGUUGGCGCUGUCGGCGACGGAGCAGUGCACCUCGCGGUUGCGCACGUACUUAAGGUCCUCCAAGUCGGCGCACUGGACCCAAAACUCCGUCACCAGGUCGUAUUCCUCGCAAAAGGGCUCGCUGGCCUUUAGAAGUUCCUCGUACGCCGCGCUGCAACCCCGCAAAGACGUGAGCAGGUUGUUGAGGUCGAAAAAGUUGUGGCAUCUUUCCACCAGCGGCUUGUGCUGAGCGCUCAAGUUCAACUGCACCGAGCUGCGGAAGUCCCAAAACAAAGGCUCGAUGGCCUUGCCACGCAGGUUGUCGAGGUGGUCCAGCGCCUGCAUAGCAUCAUAUAUAUUGAUAGGUCAUAAUUCAUAUGCAUUGCCCUGCAACAAGGUACCUUGCGUUUGCGCAGAUCCUCCUGGGCCUGCUCCAAGUCGGCGAGCACCUCAGCCUCUUUGCGGCCCCCAGGGUUCUGUGCUAGGUAGUGUACAGCAGCGCCGCUGCCAAUGGUGUGCAGCAUGCCUCCUGUUGAGCUUUCGCGGAAGACGGCAGCACCGCUUUCCGUCAACCGGUCUACGACGGCAAGGGCCAGCUGCCUGGGCUGGCUGCCAAUAAUGCUAUAUGUGACAGGUGUUUACGUACUUGAGCUGCAAUAACAGCAAACAUCAGGGCAAGCCAGCCCGGCCCCUAGCAGGUCCCAUUGGGGGUGUUUCCAUUCAUGGAUUCACCAUCGCUUCCGCCUGGCAGUUCUAGUGUAUUUUGUAGGUUGUGCAGCAUUGUACCAGUUUUAUACAGUAUCACUUCAGCAGCUGGCACAAAGCCUUUGCAAAGCCUUAGUCUUAGUUUUUGCCCUAGGCCACUGCGGCUGGCGGCAGCGGGACGGACAGCAGCCCGUCGCGCGGGCGCGGGGGCAGCCGAGCGCGCGGGCGUGGCGGCAGCGGGACGGACAGCAGCGGAGGGAGCGGCAAUGAAGACGGUGACCAGCGUGGGCCCCGUGGCGGGCCGGGCCGGGCACCCGGGGACAACCCAGUGCCGGGCGUGGUCGCGGCUGGCGAUCCGCUGGCUGUCUUUGAGCUGGCAACCCUUAGCGCAAUGCGCAUCGUGGGCGUUGAUCCCGGCGUAGGCAACUACCUGGUGGCCUGUGUCGAGUCAAUGCCAGGCUUCUCACCGCACAGCUACAGUGGCCGGCCACGAGCCGCGCACGUCUGGCGUGGCCCUGAUGGCCAGGCUCCUGGGCCUGCCCAGCCCCCACUGCAGCGACGGCGGAAGCGGUGGCGGCGACGGCAACAGCGGCUAUGGCAGCGACAGCAGCGACGGCGUCGGCGGGGGCAGAAAUGGAGGUGGCGGCGCAAGGCGGGCGGGAGAUGGAAGGGCAAGAGGCGAGGGUGGCGGGGCACGCGCCAGCACACGCAUCAGCGUGCCGCAACAGAACGGCGCCGCCAGCAGCGCGCCUGCUUUACCCGGCUGUCUGGCGCUGGCUACCGCCACUGCACAGGCCAGACAGGCCGUCGGCUAUGGCAGCGGGCACGGCUAGAGGAGCAGCCGGCGCUCAAGCGCUGUCAGGCGGGGUUGGCAGCGCGCGGGUUGCGUCGGCAGCUGAGCAUGACCUUCGAAUACGCUACCUCUACUCUGAAGGUGGCGUAGACGCGGCGGCGGCUGCUGGGUCUGCGCCUGCGUCGGUGCAACAGUACGGGCUGUGGCACCUGCUGCGUUUCUACCGUCAGUGGGGCCAGCGGCGGUGGCGCCUGACUGUCCAUGUGCGGACGCAGAAGGUGGGGCUUGAGGGGAGGGGACCAGCAGAUGCACCCACACCAACUGCAUUGCGCUGACGCUACACCAAUGCCACGGGUACAGGUGCUGGAGCACAGGUGCAGCAGCUGGCUGGUGGAAGGCCCAAGGAGGAGGUCAUUGUUGGCUGGGGCAACGCCAACACUGGCUAUGGCGGUUGCAUCAGCAGGUUGGGGCGGGGCCCAAACCGGGCACUGCUCCGCCUGCUGGUGGACAAGUACGCGCACCUGGUGGUGUACGUGGACGAGUUCUACACAUCACAGGCAAGAUGAGAGCAGACGGGUUGGAAUGAGUAGACAGGUGGUCGGGUGGAAAGGAUGGGCCUCGUGCACAGGUAGCCAGCAAGGCUCACACUGUACUCCUGCCCCCUCCCCAGGUGUGUGCGAAGUGCGGGCGGCGCUUACUCGGCGACGGGCAGCGCUGCCUGCAGGCGGUCGUACCAUGGAGGGGCUCACGCGCUCACCAAGUCCAAGUGUGCAACCACUGCGGGACGGUGUGGGUGAGUCCACUUUGCGGGCGGGCGGCUGGCUGGGUGAUGGCUGGCUGGGUGACGACUCAGUGGGGCUCAGUGGGGCCCAGUCGUGGGCUCAGUGGGGAUCAGUGGGGAUGACACGUGGAUGACACGGCUCAGUGGGUGAGGGCUCAGUGGGGCUUAGUGGGAGCACAGGGAGCAUCCUUGGCCCCAUCCAUCAACCCAGUGCUCCCACUCCGGCCACUGCCGCCGCCUCCACUCGCAUCCGUGGCCCCAUUUGCGCCUCAACAGGGCAGUUCGCAUGUAACGGGCUCACGUACGUCGCUCACGUCUCUCAUGUGCUUUCAUACGUCCAUGCGUCCGAUCAUGACAACGGGGCCCCACACACAAGCGAAUGACACGACCCCACCAACCCCCCACCACGCCAUCCAAACCCCCCAACCUGCCGGCCCCACCAAAAAUCGGGGGCCAGGGUGUAUUCAGCGCAGGACUUGGAACACACAUUUGAGACAAUUUGCGGACAGGUGAAUACGGCAGUUUGUAAGGAUAGGGUAUUGAUGAGGACUUGGGCUAUCAAUCUCAUCCCGGUCAGGGGAGAGCACAGGGAGACGGGCAGCAGGCACGGAUCGGGCAGGUCGGCAAAUGGCAGGGCUUGUGGCACAAUCCGGCAUACGCGAUGCUUUAAAAUACAAUAACAGCACAUAGAAAGACCCCUGCUGGGGGCAAAUGCAGCAGCCCGCUCGCAGGUCAGGCAUUGGCACAACUUUCUCAGACUUGUCAGUAACUAAUAGCGAUGUGAUUCAUGCAACCAUGUAUACAGGACCUGGACGGACCAGGAACUGGCAAUCAGCGGCUUUGAGCGGUUCGCCCUUGAAUUGGAGUUCUUGCAGUGCCUGGCCAAUCCUCUUUACAUCAAUUGUAAGUGUCUUGUGGACUUGAAUUUGGAUGCCAAUGAAGCUAAGUAAUGCGAUGUCUUCGUGCGCAGGGCUCGCAACGAAACAGUAUUUUGACAACCCAGCGUUUUUGAACUACCUUAAGUACCUGCAGUACUGGAAGCAGCCUGCAUACGCAGUGCACAUCACGUAAGGCGGAGGGGGAAGGGCUGCGGCCUAUAGGGUGCCAGGGCGGGAGAAAGGUGUAAGGAAAGGCGGUGGGCCACGCGGUGGGCUAGGCACACAGGUUGGAGCACUUCAGAGUAACGCACCGGGGCACCCAAGCAGGAACUGGCUGGCGCCAAAAUACAGCAUGCACUGUGGUAGCUCUGCACAAGAGGACGUGGGCAUGCUCCGUGUCGGUUUACGUCUUGAGUUGCGGAAUGAGUACUUCUACCAUACUUCAUCCCCUCGCCCCCGGUCGCCCUGCCCCCCCCCCCCGCCCCCCCUUCGCCACCUGUAUCAGGUACCCGCACUGCCUGUUCUUCUUAGACCUGGUUCAGGAUGCGGACUUCCGCAACGCAAUAAAGGAUUUCUCAUACGCGGAGCAUAUCCGCCAGGCACAGGACUCGUUUUUCCGCAACUUCCACUCCAACCGGGUGGCGGAGGCGGAGGGCAAGGCCACGGCCGCGCCGGCAGCAGAUGGCGACGGUGGCGCAGGUGAUGCCAUGGAUUGAGCGCACAUGUCCUGCUGGUGCCGGUGCGAACACGGAACGCACGUGGUGUUGGCUGGCAGUAGGUUGCGCAGGGCGCAGCGGGGGUUGGACGGUUUGACAGUCAAUCUGCGUUUUGGCAUGAUUGCAUGGAGACCGUGCAACGUGUGUGCCCAUGGCAUGUGUCAUACUGCGCUACGAAUAGAAGGACAAAAAGCGAAAGGUGUGCACAUUCAGGUAAGACACGUACAAUGGUACCGUAGUGCGGUACUGUUGCUAGCUGGGGCCGGGGUUGCUAGUUGUUUACCCGUGUACAGCCCCUCGUCAGUGCCACUGAUGAGGGCUGGCGGUGUUAGUACGUGCUGCGUUGCUGUGUAGAGAAAGUCACGUUCUCAGCUGACAAUUUACAGCAGUGUGGCUAUUGCUCAGCUAAGUUUCGCACACUUCACCUGGCGGACUUGGAGCGGCGCCGUACAACUGAGGCGGAAGGAGGUUUGGUGUAGGGAGGUGUAGGGUGCGCCCGGGCCAUUGAAGCGGCGCCGUACCCGUGAGACGUAAGGAGACAGCCCUAGUACCCUAAACCCGGGUACGGGGCACAGGAGGAGGUGAGCGAAGUCAUUGCUUGCUAGGGAUGUACGAUCAGGGGCAGUUUCGACUGGGGCACCAGGUCACGGACGGUGGUAUUGGCGGUGCAAGUCAGGGGUGGUGCGAGCGGUGUUUCUGAUACCAGGUCUGUCGCGUGAUUUCGAGGCCUUGGGAGUCUGGGUGUUAUUAAGAAGUCGAAAGCUUUAGUACAGCCGUUCAUCUCUACUACGCAGAAACGAGGCCGACUGGACGAUACAUGGCAGCGCUCCAGGUCAUGCCAUGCCAGGGUGCCAUGCACAGCACAAGGCUCAGACAAUUCCGAGACGGCGUACAUCUUCAGUCGCGAUCCUUGCAUACAUUCGCAUUAUCAGGGUACAUAUCUGCCCAUAAAAUCAGCGAGUCGCGAAACACAAAGCACGGGUGAUGUUCAAAAUGCCUAAGCGCUCAGACUCGGGUCCGCAGGAAAUCGAACUCUGGCUCGACGAGAGUAGCGAAGUUUCGACUUUGUCGCUGGUCAACCGUGACGGCAAGGCAGCGCUGCUUAACCCGGGGAGAGAGGAGGUGACCAUGUUCAACGGCGACGGCAGCGCGGGCUCGCCGUUCUGCAUCGGCGAGUCGGCGUCCAUAGGCUACAUGUCUGGACACAACAUUGGCAUUGGCUGCUUUGAGUCGGGCACCGUGAUCAUCGCGGAUAGCCGGAACGCCCUUUACGCCCUGCGCGCUAACGAUGAAAGGAGCAGGUGCUGGCUCCCAAGCAGCUGCCGCCCGGCCAGCUCGCGUGCCUAGCUGCUGACGGCAAGGGCAGUGUAUACGCUUGCAUCCGAGCGCCCAAGGAAGACUCACCCGAGCGCAUCUUCAAGGUGGUGGUGGCGGGCAGCGGCGCCGGCAAGGUGCCCACGCACAUCGCCUCGCUGCGGCAACACGCGCGUGCCGCCUGCAUGGCCUUCCACCCUCCCUCCAACUCCCUCAUCAUCGGCACCGACAACCAUGGCCUCUUCAGCGUCGGCGUGUCCGGCAGCAAGGCGCAGGCGGUGCAGCUGGAGCUGGAGGAGGUAUCGGACGGCGAUGACCUGGAGAGCACCGGUGGCGGCGAUGACAGCGACAACGAGGGUGCCUGGGGCGAUGACGGCGGCUUCAGUGACGACGACGACGGCAGCGACGGCGGCGUAGAGCCGGAGUGGCCCGGCAUCCGCAUCUCGGGCGUCGCCGUGGACACGCAUGGCUGCCUCAUCGUGGCGGAUGCCUAUGAGCGGGGUCGCGGCUGGGGCCCGGUGGGAUCGCGCGCGCUGAUCGGGCGCGUCAGCCGCUUCCAGCUGGCGGGCGCGCAGGCCGGGGCGUGCGUGCUGCGCGGCCGUGAGACGCUGCUGAAGGGCAUGGGCAGCGUGCUGCAGCACCUGCACGUGCUGGCCUGCGGCUUCCUGGCGGCCCUGGCCUUUGACAAGCUGCAGCAGUUCAAGCCGGAGGGCGUCGCGCCCUGGUUCUGGCGUCUGCCGCCGCCGCCGCGCGAUGCUGAGGGGGCUGGCACCAGCGCUGCCGCAGGCGCGAAGCGUGCGGGCGGCGGCCAUGUGGCGGAUGGCCAUGCGCGCAAGCUCGCUGGCAUGUUUCUCGGCGGCGGCAGCGCUGCUGACGUGGUGGAGUUGCAUGUGGGCAAGACCGCCGGCGGGCCCGCCAUGACCUUCUCCAUCCAUCGCGCGGUGCUGACCGGAGGCUGCAGCUGGCUGGCCUCUGGCCUGGCCAAGAGCACCGGCGCGCUCAAGGCGACCAGCGAGCAGCAGAAGGCGCUGGACGGCAUGCUGCCGCAGGUGUUCGCUGUGGUGCUGGCCUACGUGUACUCGGGCGGCGUGGACUUUGAGGGCGUGGCAGCGGACCACCCGGCGGC
rnacentral:lncRNA from 1 species